rnacentral:rRNA from 1 species
GAUGAACGCUGGCGGCGUGCUUAACACAUGCAAGUCGAACGGUGAAGGCGGAGCUUGCUCUGCUGGAUCAGUGGCGAACGGGUGAGUAACACGUGAGCAAUCUGCCCCUGACUCUGGGAUAAGCGCUGGAAACGGCGUCUAAUACUGGAUACGAGCUGCGAAGGCAUCUUCAGCAGCUGGAAAGAACUUCGGUCAGGGAUGAGCUCGCGGCCUAUCAGCUUGUUGGUGAGGUAACGGCUCACCAAGGCGUCGACGGGUAGCCGGCCUGAGGGGGUGACCGGCCACCGGGGGACGGGGACAGGGCCCAGGCCCCUGCGGGGGGGGGGAGGGGGGAAUUUUGAAAAAGGGAGGAAAGCCGGAUGCAGAAACGCCGGGGGGGGGAGGACGGCUUUGGGGUGGAAAACCGUUUUUGGCGGGGAAGAAGCGAAAGGGACGGUACCGGCAGAAAAAGGGCCGGAUAACUACGG